GGUUUCUUUUUAGUGAUUUUUCCAAACCCCUUUGUGCAAAAAUCAUUA
rnacentral:misc_RNA from 1 species